rnacentral:rRNA from 1 species
GGGGUCCGACUAAGCCAUGCAAGUCGAGGGCCGCCCGGCUAUGGGGGCGGCCCGGCGGACGGCUCAGUAACACGUGGGUAACCUACCCUCGGGACGGGGAUAACCCCGCGAAAGUGGGGCUAAUCCCCGAUAGGCGGGGCGGCCUGGAACGGUCCUCCGCCGAAAGGGCCCGGGCCCAUGCCGCCCGGGUCCGCCCGAGGAUGGGCCUGCGGCCGAUUAGGUAGUUGGCGGGGUAACGGCCCGCCAAGCCGAUAAUCGGUACGGGCGGUGAGAGCCGGAGCCCGGAGACGGGGACUGAGACAAGGCCCCGGGCCCUACGGGGCGCAGCAGGCGCGAAACCUCCGCAAUGCGGGCAACCGCGACGGGGGGACCCCGAGUGCCGUCGGGGCAAAGCCCCGGCGGCUGUACCGGGGUGUAAAAAGCCCCGGGUAGAAAGCGGCGGGCAAGACCGCUGCCAGCCGCCGCGGUAAUAGCGGCGCCGCAAGUGGUGGCCGCUUUUAUUGGGCCUAAAGGGGCCGUAGCCGGUCCCGUGGGUCCCCGCCGAAAGCCCGCGGCUUAACCGCGGGAGUCGGCGGGGAAACUGCGGGACUUGGGACCGGGAGAGGCCGGAGGUACCCCCGGGGUAGGGGUGAAAUCCUGUCAUCCCGGGGGGACCGCCAGUGGCGAAGGCGUCCGGCUGGAACGGGUCCGACGGUGAGGGCCGAAAGCCGGGGGAGCAAACCGGAUUAGAUACCCGGGUAGUCCCGGCUGUAAACGAUGCGGACUAGGUGUUGGGGCGGCCACGAGCCGCCCCAGUGCCGUAGGGAAGCCGUUAAGUCCGCCGCCUGGGGAGUACGGCCGCAAGGCUGAAACUUAAAGGAAUUGGCGGGGGA